UGAAAAGAAACUUUGGAGAGAGAGUCAAAAAGACCGCGAAACCGUUAGGAGGGAAACGAAUGCAGCUGAAUUAGCUCUGCUCAAGUUCAGGUGUGAUGUUGAUUGGCGAUGCCGGUGUGCAAGAGCCGAUAGGUUUUGCCCUCCGGAUAGCUGUCAACUCCUCUGCACUCUUGUGCAAAGCUGGCCAACAACAGUUGCUCGUGGCUGAGAAGGGCGGUUGGGAAGGUAGUCACGCUUCGGGGUGAAACUUAUAGCCAUCCGUCUGGUAGUCUGCGGGCGACUGAGGAUAACUGGCAGUGCAGGCCUUUGGCUUGGGCCGCUUCUGGCCGUUUGGGCACCGCGGUAGGGACUGCGUGCAGUGUCUGCUGACGGAUGUCUGCUCGGACGGGAAAUCGGUCACACCUUGCGCUGUAGUUGUUGGUGAUCAAAUGGCUGCAUCCGACCCGUCUGAAAAACACGGAA
rnacentral:rRNA from 1 species